GGGGAAUUAGCUCAGUGGUAGAGCGCUUGCUUAGCAUGAACAAUUGCAUGAGGCCAUGGGUUCAAUUCCCAUAUUCUCCA
rnacentral:tRNA from 1 species